CAACAACAACAGUGCAACACACGCGCGCACACAACCUUCAGAUCCAAUCGACCAGCACGCAGACGCAGCACAUACUACCUCCGAGCGACCCAGAGCCCCCGUUCGCCACCGCCCACUUCCUCCUCCACUCGCAAAUCUUCUCCUCCCCCGGCGAGAGCCCACCCACGCGCGCGGCGGCUCCGGCUCCGCCUCUCCCGCGCCUAGGGCCCCGAGGUUCCCGCACCCACGCCGCGUCGCCGCCGCCGUAGCACCCGCGGGCGCCACAAUGCCGCUCCGCCUCGACAUCAAGAGGAAGCUCGCGCAGAGGUCCGAGAGGGUCAAGUCCGUGGAUCUGCAUCCGACGGAGCCAUGGAUUCUGUCGAGUCUCUACUCGGGGAGUGUUUGCAUCUGGAACUACCAAACGCAGACAAUGGUGAAAUCAUUCGAAGUCACAGACUUACCAGUUCGUUCGGCUAAAUUCAUUGCACGAAAGCAAUGGGUCGUUGCUGGUGCUGAUGAUAUGUUCAUCCGUGUCUACAACUACAAUACAAUGGAUAAGGUCAAGGUGUUCGAAGCUCAUACUGAUUACAUCAGGUGUGUGGCGGUUCAUCCAACCCAGCCCUUUGUGCUGUCAUCGUCCGAUGACAUGCUCAUUAAGCUUUGGGAUUGGGAUAAGGGCUGGGCGUGCACUCACAUAUUUGAGGGACAUUCUCACUAUGUUAUGCAAGUCACAUUUAACCCAAAGGAUACCAAUACUUUUGCUAGUGCUUCCCUUGAUCGCACAAUAAAGAUAUGGAGUAUUGGGUCUCCUGAUCCUAACUUCACAUUAGACGGCCAUUCAAAAGGUGUCAACUGUGUUGAUUACUUCACUGGUGGUGAUCGGCCAUUUUUAAUCACUGGCUCUGAUGAUCAGACUGCAAAGGUCUGGGACUACCAAACAAAGAGCUGUGUUCAAACACUUGAAGGACAUGCACACAAUGUCUCUGCUGUCUGUUUUCAUCCGGAGCUACCUAUUAUAAUUACUGGCUCAGAGGAUGGCACAGUUCGCUUGUGGCACUCUACUACCUACAGGCUCGAGAACACUCUUAAUUACGGCCUUGAGCGAGUUUGGGCUUUAGGGUACAUGAAAGGAUCAAGAAGGAUUGUGAUUGGAUACGAUGAAGGGACAAUCAUGAUUAAAAUUGGUCGUGAAGUUCCAGUUGCUAGCAUGGAUAACAGUGGGAAAAUCAUAUGGGCAAAACAUAAUGAAAUCCAAACUGUCAAUAUCAAGACUGUUGGUGCAGGCAAUGAGAUUGCGGAUGGUGAGCGAUUACCUUUGGCUGUGAAGGAGUUGGGAAGCUGUGAUCUUUACCCACAAAGUUUACGACACAAUCCGAACGGGAGAUUUGUUGUUGUAUGUGGAGAUGGAGAAUACAUAAUUUAUACAGCACUAGCAUGGAGGAAUAGGUCUUUUGGGUCUGCACUUGAAAUCGUUUGGUCAACUGAUGGUGAAUACGCUGUCAGGGAAAGCACCUCAAGGAUAAAGAUAUUCAGUAAAAAUUUCCAGGAGAGAAAAAGCAUAAGACCAACAUUCUCCACAGAACGUGUAUUUGGUGGAGUAUUACUGGCUAUGUGUACAAAUGACUUCAUUUGCUUUUAUGACUGGGCGGAUUGCAGGUUGAUACGUCGAAUUGAUGUCAAUGUGAAAAAUGUCUACUGGGCUGACAGUGGUGAUUUAGUGACAGUUGCAAGUGAUACAUCAUUCUACAUUUUGAAGUACAAUAGAGAUGUAGUAUCUUCUCAUUUGGAUGGAGGGGGUUCAGUUGGCGAGGAGGGUGUGGAAGAUGCCUUUGAACUGCUUCAUGAGAUCAAUGAACGCAUCCGAACUGGGCUAUGGGUUGGUGAUUGUUUUAUCUACAAUAAUUCUCAGUCACGGCUUAAUUACUGCGUAGGAGGAGAGGUCACAACCUUGUUUCACUUGGACAGACCGAUGUACUUACUAGGAUAUCUUGCUAACCAGAGCCGUGUCUAUCUUAUUGACAAGCAAUUUAAUGUUGUUGGGUACACUUUACUCCUCAGUUUGAUUGAAUAUAAAACACUAGUAUUGCGUGGGGAUUUCGAUCGUGCAAAUGAUAUUUUGCCAUCUAUACCAAAGGAGCAAUAUGACAGUGUGGCACAUUUCUUGGAAUCACGGGGCAUGUUGGAGGAAGCCCUUGAGAUAGCAACGGACUCCAAUUACAGAUUUGAUCUGGCAGUGCAGCUUGGUCGAGUCGAUGAUGCAAAGGCAAUUGCUCUUGAGGUGCAAAGUGAGUCUAAGUGGAAGCAGUUAGGGGAGUUAGCUAUCUCUACCGGAAAGCUCGAGAUGGCAGAGGAGUGUCUUCUACAUGCCAUGGAUCUCAGUGGUCUACUGCUUUUGUAUUCAUCCAUCGGGGACGCUGAAGGGAUUACAAAAUUGGCAUCUCUGGCUAAAGAACAAGGAAAGAACAAUGUUGCCUUCCUUUGUUUGUUCAUGCUAGGCAAGUUGGAGGAAUGCCUUCAAUUGUUGAUUGAAAGCAAUCGUAUUCCGGAAGCAGCAUUGAUGGCAAGGUCUUAUCUUCCAAGCAAAGUCCCUGAGAUUGUAGCAUUAUGGAAAAAAGAUCUCCAAAAAGUAAACUCAAAAGCCGCAGAGUCCUUGGCAGAUCCUGAUGAGUAUCCAAACUUAUUUGAAGACUGGCAGAUUGCUCUCAAUGUUGAAGCUGCUGUUGCCCCCAAAAGGGGCAUCUAUCCACCUGCCGAGGAGUACACGAUUCAUGCUGAGAGAUCCAACGAGAGUCUUGUUGAAGCUUUCAAAAAUAUGCACGUACAUGAAGAGGAGGAUGCACACGAAGAGGAUGUACAUGACGAGGAGGAGCUAACAAAUGAAAAUGAUACCGUUCAUGAGGUUUUCGAAGAUGACGGAGUAGAAGAUAGCCAAGAGGAUGCUGUUGAGGUUGAUGCCGAUGGUUCUACUGAUGGCACUAUCCAUGUGAAUGGAAAUGACAGUGAGGAACAGUGGGGUACGAAUAAAGAAGAACCAUCAGCAUAAAAGCUGUAGUUGAGCAAGUUGCUGACUCCUGACCAAUAGUGGAUAGUGGACCAGCAACUUGCUUCGGAGGUUUUACUUUGUAAAGGUUUGUUACUGGGACGAUGUAAAAGCUGUUCUCAUCUGUAUAAGCACAACAUGUGCUCUAGGACUGGUGCAUCCGGUUACAAUGUUCAGCAGCAAUUUGAUUAGAACUUCGCCCAUGUCAUAGAGAAUUUUGCGCUUCAUUUUCAUAUAGUGGUCGGGUCAGUAGGUUUCUGGAAUGUUUCAUAGUGCAAGAGGCUCAUUAUCUUCAUUUGGAGAUCGAAUUUGUUUGGUGAUUGGAGGUGCCAUAUUUUACACAAAGUACAUAGGGCAGUCGUCUGCCAGUUUGGGAACGUUUCUCCCGUCCCGUAUGUAAACCUCAGGUGUUGGAAGACAGUAAUUGGAUUUGAUGGGAGCUUUGUA